rnacentral:tRNA from 1 species
UCUAAUAUGGCAGAUUAGUGCAUUGGAUUUAAAUCCCAAAUAUAGAGAUUAUAUCUUUUUUUAGAA